rnacentral:rRNA from 1 species
UACGUAGGGGGCAAGCGUUGUCCGGAUUUAUUGGGCGUAAAGAGCGUGUAGGCGGCCCGACAAGUCCGCUGUGAAAGUCGGGGGCUCAACCCUCGAAUGCCGGUGGAUACUGUCGGGCUAGAGUGCAGAAGAGGCGAGUGGAAUUCCUGGUGUAGCGGUGAAAUGCGCAGAUAUCAGGAGGAACACCGGUGGCGAAGGCGGGUCUCUGGGCCGAUACUGACGCUGAGGAGCGAAAGCGUGGGGAGCGAACAGG